UGAUGGCGAAAACAGCCAGGAAAUAUCAGGAAGCGAAAGAAAGUUGAAUACACCAAAGCUUAAGCAUAGUCUAGCGCGAGACUUUCCCUUCCGAUUCUGUAUAUCUCGAAUUGUAUCUUAUUUGUUCUCCUUUUAUUUUGCUUCCUUCCUUUUGAUUGAUAUGUGAAAGAUUCUUUUUACUGCCUCGAGGAA
rnacentral:ribozyme from 1 species